rnacentral:rRNA from 1 species
AGAGUUUGAUCCUGGCUCAGAAUCAACGCUGGCGGCAUGCCUAACACAUGCAAGUCGAGCGAGAAAGGGUAGCAAUAUCCGAGUACAGCGGCGCACGGGUGAGUAACACGUGGGUAACCUGCCUCGAAGUGGGGAAUAACACCGGGAAACCGGUGCUAAUACCGCAUAAUCUGACGAGAUCUGCGGAUUUUGUCAGCAAAGGAGCAAUUCGCUUUGAGAGGGGCCCGCGGCUGAUUAGCUAGUUGGUGAGGUAAUGGCUCACCAAGGCAACGAUCAGUAGCCGGUCUGAGAGGACGGUCGGCCACACUGGAACUGAGACACGGUCCAGACUCCUACGGGAGGCAGCAGUGGGGAAUUUUUGGCAAUGGGGGCAACCCUGACCAAGCAAUGCCGCGUGGGUGAUGAAGUCUCUUGGGACGUAAAACCCUUUCGACAGGGACGAAACCGCGAGGUUGACGGUACCUGUAGAAGAAGCCCCGGCUAACUCCGUGCCAGCAGCCGCGGUAAUACGGGGGGGGCAAGCGUUGUUCGGAAUUACUGGGCGUAAAGGGCGCGUAGGCGGCUCACUAAGUCGGAUGUGAAAACUCUGGGCUCAACCCAGAGCCUGCAUCCGAAACUAUUGGGCUAGAGUUCUGGAGGGGAAAGCGGAAUUCCUGGUGUAGCGGUGAAAUGCGUAGAUAUCAGGAGGAACACCGGUGGCGAAGGCGGCUUUCUGGACAGAAACUGACGCUGAGGCGCGAAAGCUAGGGGAGCAAACAGGAUUAGAUACCCUAGUAGUCC